AUCGAGCUGACGAGUCCAAAAUGGGACGAAACGUGCAUCCUGGAU
rnacentral:hammerhead_ribozyme from 1 species